rnacentral:sRNA from 1 species
AGCCCGGCGUGGAGCGAGCCGGAGCCCGAGGCGGGGCUGGAGCCCGAGCGGGAGCAGGGGCCCGCGGGGAGCGGCGAGCCCGGCCUCAGACAAAGGGGCCGGCGGGGCCGAAGUCGCGCCGACCUCGAGUCCCCGCAGAGGAAGCACAAAUGCCACUACGCGGGCUGCGAGAAAGUUUACGGGAAAUCCUCGCACCUCAAGGCGCACCUGAGAACUCACACAGGUAAGAGACAAGGAAGGUGGUCCGGGAGGCUGGAGAGCUUGUCAAGGUCACGGACCCAUGGUUUUCUGCCCCCCAGGUCCAAGCUCUUUCCUGGACAUCUGCAGGCAAUGUCGACAUGCCCUCCAGUGUCUGUGGCGGGCAAAGGAUGUGUCUCCACCCCCAGACCUUCCGAUCCUGCGCUAAAAGUGUCCCUCAGCCUGUU